rnacentral:rRNA from 1 species
UACGUAGGGUGCAAGCGUUGUCCGGAAUCAUUGGGCGUAAAGGGCGCGUAGGUGGCCCGGUCAGUUCGUGGUGAAAGCGCGGGGCUCAACCCUGCGUCGGCCAUGAAUACUGCCGCGGCUGGAGCACUGUAGAGGCAGGCGGAAUUCCGGGUGUAGCGGUGGAAUGCGUAGAGAUCUGGAAGAACACCGGUGGCGAAGGCGGCCUGCUGGGCAGUUGCUGACACUGAGGCGCGACAGCGUGGGGAGCAAACAGG